CCCUGCAUCUCAAACACACACACACACACACACACGUUCCCCAGUGUGAUUCAGAGGGAGAAAAAAAAUAAAAGAAUAACACAACACUGCUGAUCAGAGCUGCUCAGCCCGCCUGCUCUGCACUGAGGGUCCCUGACAGAAGCAGCGAUGUUCGAGACGCAGGGAGCCCUCAGUUUGUCCGUCACUGAUUAGUAAAAAAAGAAAAUACUUCGCCUCUUCUUGCCCAGCUGCAGCGGAUAUGUGCAUCUGUGCAUCUUGACACGCCUUCAAGCCACCAGUGGACACACACACACAAAGCCGAGACAAAGACACACAAACUGACAUGGCUGAGGUGCGACAGUGAGGACAUAUUACCUGCUCACGGACUGGUCUCUCCUCCGAGUCCACUCUGCCCUCCCUGGUGCGUUACCGAGGCCAAACAUAAAGCAGUGUUUCAUGGCGCUGGGGCUUAUCUGGGCUCUGAAAGUAUGUGAGACAUGCCAGGAAAACAAAGGAGCGUCUCUGCGCCAACUGCAGGGCACUGAUGACCUUGUUCUGGCGCUCCUGACACAGUAGGAUUGCUCCAUAAACGAUAAGUAAAGACGGAGUGUCUGGGAGGUUAAAGGCCUCCACUUUCACAAACAAAGAGGCUACAGAGAGAAUUGAGCGCCAAAGAAGAAGAGAAUGCAUUUGUUUUGUCACUGGCUUGUUUUUGCAGGAUUUGUUUUGUACGACACCUGUGUUUUGUGCGUUGUUGCAAAACUGGGCAGGAAACGGAUUUGCGUUUGUAUGCCGCUAUUUUAGUCUGCCUAACAUUCUAACCGCUUUUUUACACUACAUGUCAUUCACCCAUUCACACCCAUAUCAGAUCGUAACCAAUUGGACUUAAGAUAUCUACUGAAUUACUUAUACAAUAGUAUCUUGUGUGUAUUAUCAACAUGAUUUAAAUAUUUAAUUUCUAAAUAACACGGUCAAUAUCAGUCUGUCGCAAGACCCCAUUUGGGACAUUCCUGUUCCCCUCAGGACAUUUUGUAUUAACUCUGAUAGCCCCUCAACUUUUCAUGCAGCGCCAUCAUCAGGUUUAUUUCUGAACUGCAAAACGUAUUCCAUGAGAUUCCCAUUGGCAUUAACUGUACUUUCUGUUUAUGGUUAACUUGCAAGUUUUAACGAACGCGCUGAGAUCAGAACGGUUAAUUUCAUAACUGCAAAACAUCGACAUGUUGACACAGUCAUUCUGAACAUUUACCAUGAUGUUGGCAUAUAAUAGGAUACAAUAUCACCAACAUAAUUUGAAACUCAAGGCUUCAAACUCAAACAAUGACCAAAAAGACUAAGCACUGAUUUGUUUCACCACUUUGUCUCCAUCAGAGCGCCUAAAGUGCUGAUCCAACACUUGUAUAACUGCAGUGAGGAGAAGCCUCUUGAGGAGGCACCAAGGAGCUCGCUCCACUCCCUGGGUAGACACAGACAGAAUACUCCAGAUUACCUAGUUUUCCUAAUGUCUCCUCUCUGGCGAAGUGUCUUUCAGAGGGCUGAGAGGCAAACCGGCGCUGGUGAAAGACUCACUCUCCAUUAGUGGAGGUAAACGGCUCUUCUGUGAGCAACCGGCUAAAGCGGGGCGGGAUAAAAGGCCUCUCCACGCACUUCUUCAGGCAGAUUAGAGAGGUGACUCUUGUCUCGAGGAUGUUAAUGUUUGUACGCGCACAGCGGAGCGCUCUACCGCAGGAACCUCAGCGGUCUCAUUGCUGCGUUUAUCUGCAGGAAUUCACAUGGUUCUGUUUCGUCAGCAAUGAAACCUGCAUUUAAUUCUCAGUUCAAUCAUCCUGCAUUAGGCUGUUUUGUUUGUAGUCUGAGCUACACCUUCAACUGCAAUUGUAUUAUAACCAUUGCCUUGGAAUUAAAUGUUGAGGGGAAUUGGUUUAAAAUAAUGGUAAGAACACCAUGGAGCUGCUUUUAGGUGUUUAGGUGUUGCAACUACUAUUCUAUUAUAAUUCUAGAAUAAAAUGAUAAUAGUAAAACUUCAGAAAACUGGAAAAAAUAGAAGGUAAAGAUGGUUUCAAUAAUUUCCUUAAUUUAUUUAUGUAGUUGAUACUUUAACAUAAAAAAAACAUGCAAGUUGUCCAACAAUUACAAUGCAUUUCCCCCUCUCUCAGUUCUUCCAACUCUAACUGGUCCUUACUUUCUGAGGGGGAGAAACAAGCUGCGCCUCGUGGCAGGCUCACUGCUUCCUUGCCAGCUACCAGCCGCUGAUUGCAUUUCGCCCGAGAAGUAAAUACUACAUGCUCAGUUACCAGGUGAAAUCAAGCAGGCAGACGUGUCGGCAGCCUCAGUAGACGCUCGCUGGACCCUGCCUGCUUCUACCUGUGACACGGACUUUAUAGCCAAGUCAGCUGCUGCUGAUCCACGUUGCUGAGCAGGUAUCGGUGUGUAAGUGUGUGUGUGUCUGUGUCAGAGAGGGACAGGGAGAGAUGGAAAGAAAAAAAAAAAAACAGUAGUGACGACAAAGUUUGUUUACUUUUUAAGAAAAUAAAAAUGUAUGGCCAUUGAUUUGAAAGACUUGUUAAAGGAAUACCGAUAACUGCAGCUUUUUACCGACACUCACUGCAGCCGCCAUCGGGCCUGUUUGUUGUGAACCGUGUAGAAAGCAAGAGAGCAGCGGAGGUAUAUUUGCCGGGGAAGGGGUGAGAAUACAAUAGCCCUCCUUCCAAGGGUCUGUAACCAAACACUCUUAAUAAAGUCCCUGCCACUGCACAGCUCGCCUUACAACAACAGGGACGGCAUUAUACAACUCCACUCUUUGUUUUGAAGCGCCCCACCAGCGAGUCCUAGAGAGGGACGAGCACUGCACAAUGUAAAAUAUUGAUGACCCCGUUACACCUUAUAUUAUUUCCAUUGGCAGCACAUCUACUGAUGCUGUGGUCUAGUGUAUUUUUUCGAGUUUCUUAGCAGGCAGGUUUUUUUUGGAGUGAUUCAUGCACCAGAAGUCAGAACAAUAAUGUCAUAUAUUUCACUGACAUGUUGGACGUUGUGAUUUAAAGACAAGUUAAGUACAAUGUGACAUUUUUAAUGAUUAACCUGUUUUCAUAAUCAUCACAAGUAUCAGUCGGACAGAUUGAAUGAUUGUUUGAUCUCUUUUCCGACGAUGUUGGCCAAGACUGGAGUGAGUAGCAUUAAAGGUUGAAUUUAAAGAAACGUACAAGUAUCUUUAAACGAGCAGUUGAUCAUUAACCUUAAACCAAGCAGUGACCAAUCGUAAUGGUUUACAAGACACUGGAGCAAAAAUAAUAAAACAAUACGAACAUAAACCGAAUGGAUCAAAUAAUGAGGACACUGUAACAUGGUCAUGCUGACUGGACUCCUUUAACUUUCCCUAUAAACACUCGUCGGUAUUGUGUCAAUACUUGCAGCUAAAGAAGGAGCCUCUCCUUGCGGAUUUCAGGCCUCCCCGUUGUUUAAGGUUGUGACCCCUCUUUUUAUUUUUCCCGGGGCUUCUGGGUUAAUGAAGUAACAACAAACUGGGCCUGCGGCUAAUUUGGAGUGGCACUUCCUGGCCCCUCCUGUCUGCACCGAGACGUAUUUCAUUUUCUCUUAUCUCUGCCUCGGUCAUGCGGCUUUCCGCAUGGACGCCCAUGUCUCCCCCAGUUGCACGACUAAUGGAAACUUCGUUAAUGUCAUUAAUCUGCAGACCAGGACAUGAACCAAACACGUUUAACCUUUCUGGGCACGCCUGUGCCACCGUAGCUGCGGUGACUGUCCACGCGCUGUUGUACUUGUGGCUCACUGUGACGUGUAAUAAUAUGCGAUUCUCUUUCCCGCAUGAAUUGGAGCCACUAUAAAGCUGAGCUGGUCGAACAUGGGGCUAGAAUCCAACAGCAAGAUGUAUAAAUGAAUGCACAUUCAGGCUUUUUUAUUUUUUUUUAAUUUCUCAGCUGGUACCAAAGUUUCUCCAGGAAAAGUACUUGAUAACGAACUACUUCUGAUUCUCCGCAUCGCUCAAUUUUCACUAAAUAUCUAUCUUUCCUAAUCAGCCUCACUUGACUGAACGGGUGUCUAUAGAUGACAGCACUCUCACUUCCACCAUGCACAUUAAAACAAUGGUAACGUCAAAAGACUACUUAAUGACUAAUCAGGUGGCUGUGAUUCAUGCCUCAUUCAAAGCCCCUUAUUCACACAUUCCACCAGCUCCAUCAAUGGACACUCCCAGCCCCACAUGUCAUAUACGUUCAUUCAUAAAGAAGAAAACAACGAGAGGGGGGGAGGGGGUUGAAAAAAAAAAAAAAAGGAGUCUCUCUUGUAGGAUGGGUAACCCAGGGGACAUUUUCUUUUGUGUGGCGCUCAGCUUAUGGGGCCAAAUGCCAGCAGGCUUACCUCCACACUGUCUGUCUGUGUGUGUCCCCCUUUCCUUUGCACGCAGUAAUUAGGAGGAUCUUAAUGGAGAGGGGGUUUAUUAGUGUCUGAGGAAGGCUUUAAACGUCACUUUAAUUAAGGGGGAUUCGGCAGACAGCUUGUGUGGCGAUGUCACCCAUUUUAUAAAAUCCUUGUUUGGGCACAACAGAAAAAUAGAAGUGGGUCUUUAAAAGGAAGGGAAAAGGUCUCUGCAGAGGAAGGGCCGUCUGGACCUGCGGUCAGCGACAGAAUGGAUCGUCUGACCCUGGCUGAGCGUUAAGAUGACGUCAUUAUCCGUCAAGAAAUUCCAAAUGUGUGCGUACGGGGAGAAAACUAACCUCCCUUCAAGGAGAAAAUAAAAGCAGCCAAACAAACCGCCUGUUAAAAGAUAACCUCACUGCUGAAAAUUUUUUUUUGGGGGGGGGAUUAAUUUAUUCUCAGCAUAUCCUAUGGCCGUUCAUGCAGGAUAUAAAAGCCUAGAUUAUUUCCUGCUUGGUUAACCCGCAUCCGGCCAGUCGCUCUCACAAAGGCAUUCUAAUGUUGCCAUUAGUUAUGCUCCUCUGGUGGCCAAAAGAUUGAUCCCAGAGACUUGGAAUCCAAUAAAUGUGUACAUGAAUGGCAGAGGGAGAUAACACGUUCGCCACAGACAGUGCGAGUGCUGAAACACGAUUGAAAAAGGCUGAUUAAUGAGGCCAUAUUUGUAAAUAACCUCAACACUAACACUUCAAUAGUAGUUUAUUUACCUUGACCUUUUUCUUUUUAUCUUAAUUUUAUUAUCAAGCUACAAUAGCCACUGAGAACUUGAGUUAGUUAGUAAGUAAAAAAAAAACAUGUUUCAGGUGUGUUAAUUAUUAAGUACCUCAAUAAGGAUUUGUCAGAAGUUAGAUGAGGAAAAAGGGAGAAAAUGAGGAGGAAUCUUUUCAGUAAAAAAAGGAAACGACAGAAAAGAUCAAAUGUACUCACUCAUAAGAGCUGGUGUUGUCACAAACAUCACGGGGCUAUAAAAGUCUUCCACAAUAACUGCGGCUGCUGGGGGCCCGCGGAGGGGAUCUGAUAAUGGGGCCCGAGGGGAAGCGACAGCGUGCUCAGGGACCUGGGAUCGUCUGGAAGACGGAUAAGAAGACACAGGAGCAGGUUAUCAGCCAGUUUAUGGGGUGUCACUCCGCUCAAACACUCACCUGUUCCGCAGGACAUUUCACAAACAGGCACCGUGUUAAUCGUGUAGGGAUCCGGCUGCUAUGGACCCAAUCGAAUGUAUUUUACAACCCUUGAGACCAGAACUCAUAGACAAUUUCAUUUUGUUCAGAUGAGUAAAGAUAGUUUUUUUAAGCAUAUUUCAUUCAAACGUUAUUUACCUGUUUUUAUAGAGAACACCUGAAUGUGGUAGGAUACAUCGUUGACAUAACUUCAAGACUUAGUAUAACACCAGGAUUCCCACUGUAAACCCAUGUGACGUUCUCUUUUCAGCCCGUGUGCGAACUAAGAAAGAGCCUCAUGUCGAACACGGUGUGCUUGAAAAGACAUGAAAACAUCUCCAACACAGUGUAACCCUGCUAUAAGACGACAUCGUCAAAGUUAUAUGCCUGGAUGUUGUACUUGUAACUUUGAGAUUCUGGCUGGAUUAUCUAGCCGUCACAAUUUGCUUUCACAAAUUCCCUAAUUAGCAUCAAUCAUUCAACAAAGCAGUGAUUUUUUUUUUGUGGUAUCGAGCCUCUAAAAACACAUUAAAACGCACAUACGGGGAAAUACAUUGUCUCAAACCUUUCUUAUCUGCAGUGUUUCUUAAUCAUUUUAUACAAAGCGCUGAACUAUUUUAGAAUGAAUUGGCUUUAUGAUAAUAAUAUUGAUAAUAAAAGUACUAUUGAGCAGUGAGAGGGAAUUAGCAGAAAGAGCAUCUUGACUGGUUGAGAUAAAUGGCGGCUGACCUGCGUGUACGUAGAGCUGAUGUGCCUUGUGGCACCACUGGACAGGUGCUCUAAAAACCCUUCCUGUGUGGGGGGGGGAGAGGGUGGGGGAGAGGUGGGGGCAGUGAGGUCGCCUCCCCCGAGGCCUCGCUGAGAGAAAGUCAGAGCACAAAGCAUUUUGUUGCCAAUAGAUUGCAAACGCCAAGACUGCAACCGCUUAUCCUUAUCACCUACUAAUGCUGUAUUCUACUUGUUUGCUUGGUUUUAAAUUACACAAACCGCCUCGUUCACUUAUAAAAUCGGACCGAAUGAAUGAGAACAGUUGGGGGGGUAAAGAGAAGUGGCCCAAAAUGAAAUCCCUCUAAACUAAAAGAAACAAUGCAAAGUUCUGUUUUCCAAUGGCUUCUUCCAUACGUGAUGAACAUCACCACAUCAUAAAAUAAUAAUCUGAUUUUGUUCUUUGAUCUUUAAGCAGCUUUCCGCUGUACACCAACGUAUAGGAAACGUUUGCUCAGUGACAUUUUAUUUGCUAAAUAUUUCGAAAAACUUUUGCCGUAUCAGUCGCAGGAUUUUGUUUUCUUUUAGUUUUACACGGAAAAACACAGUUUCACGACAUGCUUCGACGUGCACGCGACAAAGCCACUAAAUCAGAGAAGUACGUUCCCUUUCCAUCACAAAAAAUAAAUAAACAGCCCAACUGUAGACUGCUUGGGUACGUUCACCAGAUUUCUUUUUAUCAUUACGCUUUCACCCACAUAAAUGAUCAAAACAAAUGACACUCUCUGCGCAAAGAAGAAACGGAGCCCACAAAAGGGAGUCUGACAGCCAUUUCCACAACAGAUGUUUUUACAGAGGGGUGUCUUCUCUCCGCUGAGCAGUCUCACACAUGAGAGACCCCCAAAAGCUUCAGAGAAACGUCCAGAAAACCAACAUGUAAAUUUGUAACUGCCAUGUCUCCGACUAGCGGGCCCGCGCCAAUUUUGUUUCUUUAGGAAUAAAACAAAGAAACAAAGAAUAAAAAAAAAAACAAGAGACGGCUGCAUCGGUGUGGACGGCUUUAAAAAGGCGGGAG
ensembl:lncRNA